UUCAGUCCAAUUAUACAGUCCCAAAAAUAAAAUUAAAAAAAUGAAAAUAUAAACCUACUCCCAUUGCUUUCCCCACCUGACGUUCCGGGCCUGGAUCGUGCGCCGUCUUCAAGAACAUAAUGCUUCGGGGCUUUCUUCGGAUAAAUCAAUACAAAUUACUUGAGGCAUUCCCCGGCCAAAUGAAUACAAUAGAACCCAAUGCAUAAAUCAAAACCACUCCACAAAUAUUUCAUCAUUCAACAAUCACAUAUCCUAAACUUUGCCUACCCAACCUACCAUUUUUCGACUCAACUCGACCUAUCAUGACACUAUCACGAUCGACGGCGUCAAUGAAUCAAAAAAAUAAUAAAUCAAAAUUAAUCCUAUUUCACUUUAGCGAUUUUUCAAUUCGCGCCCCAAAUAUUUUUUAACACGAUUAAACCAAUUUAAUAUACAAUACAACGAUCAAGUUUUCAUAUCCAAAUCCAACAUCACCCCACACAUCACGAAGAUUCAAACAUGUCAAACACAUAAAUCAUUUAGAAUUAUGUAAAAACUACAGGUAGAGAAGAUAGAAUUGAACCUCAAUGCCGCUUUCAAAAAUCUAUGUGUUAUUCUAAUUAAUCAGGUAGAAUCCGCGUCCAAAAUCCUUGAGUCAAACCUCAACAGCGAACCAACUACAACUCGAUAAGAUCCCCCAAAAAGAUGAGCGAAUAAAAAAAUAGCCCUUUCAAGAAAAAAUCCAAAACCGAAUCAAAUCUCUCCAACGAAACAUAGAUAGAAUUGAACCUCCAUGCCGCUUUCAAAAAUCUAUGUGUUAUUCCAAUUAAUCCGGUAGAAUCACCGUCCAAAAUUCUCGAGUCGAACCUCAACAGCGGACCGACUACAACUCGAUAAAAUCCCCAAAAAAAAUAAGCGAAUAAAAAAAUAGCCCUUUCGAGUCAAAAUCCAAAACCGAAUCAAAUCUCACCAACGAAACAUAAAUUUCUGACUAAGUGUGUUAUUUCGCAGUCACAACCAACGGUGGGUGUUUUCCGGCGUUUGUCCGAGUUCUCUGGUGAAGGACCAAUAGCCAGAAUAGUAUUAUCCGACCUCUCUCUUGAUCAAGAGACUGUUUUGGUCUCUCCCUCUCUCGCUCAAACAAUACAGCUUUCUAUUGAUCUCUCUCCCAUCUCCAAUUUCUUCUCUCUCUUGCUCAAUUCCCUCUCUCCCCAAAUUUGGUGUGUGUAUUCAGUGAGAGAGUCGAUUAUCUGAUGGUGAGGGUCUGUUUUUGGAGUGAAGAAUACGUGGAGCUAUGGUGAUAAAAAAUGGACCCCCUUGUUUCUGUGGAAGAGAUGAGUAUAUGAUGUAUUCCCCCAAGAAGAAGAAAAGGGUGCAAUAAAUAGAGGUCCCUCCUUUGUGAGUAAUUCUCUUUCUUUGUGAAAAAGAAAUGUGAGGGGUCACGUGGAUCGGGUAGUAGGGGUAAGGUAUUGGGUAGAUGGGGUAGGGUAAGUUGGUUAGGAUAGAUUAAAACAAGAUAAAAUUUGUUAGGAAUUUUGUUAAGGGUUGUUAUUUUUUGUAUUUUUGUGGGGUAUAAUCACAUGGGUGAGGGUAUGUAGUAAGGUGAGCUAAAAAUGGAUAAAAU
rnacentral:lncRNA from 1 species